GAUGAACGCUGGCGGCGUGCCUAAUACAUGCAAGUCGAGCGAACAGAUGAGGAGCUUGCUCCUCUGACGUUAGCGGCGGACGGGUGAGUAACACGUGGAUAACCUACCUAUAAGACUGGGAUAACUUCGGGAAACCGGAGCUAAUACCGGAUAAUAUAUUGAACCGCAUAGUUCAAUAGUGAAAGACGGUUUUGCUGUCACUUAUAGAUGGAUCCGCGCCGCAUUAGCUAGUUGGUAAGGUAACGGCUUACCAAGGCAACGAUGCGUAGCCGACCUGAGAGGGUGAUCGGCCACACUGGAACUGAGACACGGUCCAGACUCCUACGGGAGGCAGCAGUAGGGAAUCUUCCGCAAUGGGCGAAAGCCUGACGGAGCAACGCCGCGUGAGUGAUGAAGGUCUUCGGAUCGUAAAACUCUGUUAUUAGGGAAGAACAAAUGUGUAAGUAACUAUGCACGUCUUGACGGUACCUAAUCAGAAAGCCACGGCUAACUACGUG
rnacentral:rRNA from 1 species